rnacentral:lncRNA from 1 species
UCAUCAUCAUCAUCAUCAUCACCAUCAUGAUUCCUCUGACAAAAGCUCCUUCCUUUACAACCCAAAUAAGAAGCUGGGAAUAAAUCCCGGUGUCAUAUCACAAGAUAUAAUACUGCCUGCACUACACUAAACAGCCACUCUCAGGUUUCAUCAGAAGAUCCUCCGGAGAAUGACUGCCUUCCAAAUGUUUGGGCACCUGUGACCUUGGACUCUUUGGGACAACAAGCCCUGGAUUCAUUAAUACUUUAUUGGACGCUAAUCAAACAAUUUCAAAUGCUAAAAAUAUUUGAAAGGACACAAGACUAAGAACACAAAAAAAUGUUUGUGAAUUACGGUGGAGAUUACAUUACACAGGUAACAGUCACAUGCUUCUCUGUAUAUGUCAGACACUGUUCUUAUCCUUGGUACAGCGU